rnacentral:rRNA from 1 species
GGAGAGAUUCAGCGUCAGCAUGUAUUGUAUUCACGUGAGUAAUGAUGUGAGUUUUUGGUAAGAGGGUURAACCUUUUAUUAAUGCUUGCACAUUUUCAUGUUAUUUCAUUGCAAUAGUAUUGCCGGCGUGCACUUCUCUUCUAGUAGGACGUCCCGACCCGUUGAGCCUUGGCCUACGGCACAGAUGGUAGCCUUUGAUAUUUAUUUAUUAAAGACCUCCUGAUGUUCUCCUGGCUAAAGUGCUCGACGGUAUUGAAUGCAAUUGAUCUGGUUUUCAGCCGCAUUUAAUUAUGCGUCCGGCCUGUCGCAAGUUUUAUUGACAUUUUCUGUAUUAUCAUAGACCUAGUGCUAUGUAUAUGGUGGUGUUGGCUCUUGCAUGACUGUGCUCUUGGACUGGCUUACUUAAACCUGUCAG